rnacentral:rRNA from 1 species
AAGGUUGACCUCGGAUCAGGUAGGGAUACCCGCUGAACUUAAGCAUAUCAAUAAGCCGGAGGAAAG